rnacentral:lncRNA from 1 species
GUCACCCCAUCGGGGUGUCCACGGCAUCAUUGGGGGUUAAGCCACUUAGUCAUGGAGACAAGUGAAUGCGCAACAAGGGAUCUCUAACCUUCAAACCGUUUGAGGGAGAAUACUCUAUGAUAUGAUUUAGAACCUCUGGCCAGAGUAUGAAUGAGAUUUAGGAAAGCGUUCCAAAUCACAUUCCAGGUAAUAAUAUAAGCACACGAAUCACAUUGGAUAGUAGACAUGAAUAAAUAAACUAUCAAACCAAACAAUGUGGUCAAGAGUAUUGUAUUAGAGAAAGAUCGUAUUGCAUUUGUAAUCCUAAACUGAAUAGGUUCUCCACCUCUUCUGAUUAGCUUGGGUAACCAUGAUACGCUGCUAGGUGUCACUCAUGGUUUGUGGAAGCCCUAAACGUGUGUAAUCACUAAAGGGAGAAUUGAAAGUAAGUUUCAAUUCACAAUCGAUGUAAAAUGGUUUUAAUCGCCCACUGCCUCGCUAAAAUGAACCUAAUGGAUCGUACACCGUGUAAGGUGGAGAUUGAAGAAACAAUGGAGAUGAGUAAGAAUAAUUAAAUGGUUUAAUUAUUUAUGGCAAGGAUUAAUUAAUAUGUUAAUUAAUCAAACGAAUAAGUUCGUUAAAGACCUUGGGAUAGUUUUGGACCUUAAGGCCCAAUGGGCUUCAAACGUCAAGCCCAUUGACUUAAGUUGUAUGACAACUUAAUGAAUAAUGAUUCACAAAGGCCUAAAAGGCCCAAUGAAACCACAAGGCCGGCCAUGAUGCUUUUGGAGUGGAUUUUGGACUUAUUUACAAGUUUGCCACUCCAAUGAAUUAAGGUAUAAAUAUGACUUUAUAGCCAAAAUUCAUUUUAGGGUUUGUUUUGGAGAAAAUUGGGGAGAACAUGUCUCUCCAUUUCUCUCUAAAGAGGCCAGCCCCUUGGAGGGUGGAUCUAGCAAUCCCACUACUCCAAGGUCACUCAUUUCUUCAUCAAUCUUACCUUGGUGUGGAUACUUAGAGGUUCUCAAUUUUGGGAACUUGGAGAACCAUAUUCUUCCAUCCAAAUCCAUGGAUCUAAGAAGUAAGGAAUGAAGGCCCUCUCUUU